GACGAACGCUGGCGGCGUGCUUAACACAUGCAAGUCGAGCGGUAAGGCCCCUUCGGGGGUACACGAGCGGCGAACGGGUGAGUAACACGUGGGUGACCUGCCCUCAGCUCUGGGAUAAGCCUGGGAAACCGGGUCUAAUACCGGAUAUGACUCCAUGACGCAUGUUGUGGGGUGGAAAGCCUUGUGCGGCUGAGGAUGGGCCCGCGGCCUAUCAGCUUGUUGGUGGGGUGAUGGCCUACCAAGGCGACGACGGGUAGCCGGCCUGAGAGGGCGACCGGCCACACUGGGACUGAGACACGGCCCAGACUCCUACGGGAGGCAGCAGUGGGGAAUCUUGCGCAAUAGGCGAAAGCCUGACGCAGCGACGCCGCGUGAGGGAUGACGGCCU
rnacentral:rRNA from 1 species